rnacentral:lncRNA from 1 species
GUUUCAAAUCUCAAAAGGUAAUAAAAUGAUUGCCUAGUGUUUAUCUAAGUAGUUUUUUAAUCAGUUUAUUGAGAUAUAGUUGACCAAUAUUGAGUAAAAUGGGAAAAAGUUGUUCAAACAUUCUUACCAGUUCUUGAACACUGCCAACCUAAGCGAGCAUUUCCUUACCAAAAAACUACCAGUUUCCACUAAAUGAGCCAGACCGGCACUCAUGAAUAUUUCCAGGUUCCAACAGGCUACUUUAAUGCAGAAGACUAAAGAAAGGGUCAAAUACCAGAAAAGAGCUCUCCCUGUUGGGCAAGAGAUUGAUUCAGAAUUUCAGCUCAUGAUCUGUUGUUAUUUACCUCUUUACAUCUCUCUGUACUUCACAGUAAGAAGAAUUAGUACUGGGUCUCAGAGCUACGAAGCUAUGAAGGUACUUCAAAAACUUCAUGGAACAUGCAAGCAGAAGAUGCUUAUUCUGCAGCCAAAAGGAUCUGAAAAAUCCAGUCUACUAGUCCUGAGAUCUUCCCUUUAUGAUCUGAGAAAUCGGCCUGUGGUUUGGUGUGGAAACAAGAAAGAGAUCAAACAGGGUCCAAAUUUUGACCUUGAAGAGCUCCUGUUCUGCCUUACUUGGAGUUGA